UACGUAGGGGGCAAGCGUUGUCCGGAUUUAUUGGGCGUAAAGAGCGUGUAGGCGGCCAAGCAGGUCCGCUGUGAAAACUCGAGGCUCAACCUCGAGAGGUCGGUGGAAACCGUUUGGCUAGAGUCCGGAAGAGGAGAGUGGAAUUCCCGGUGUAGCGGUGAAAUGCGCAGAUAUCGGGAAGAACACCCGUGGCGAAGGCAGCAUCCUGGGAAGCACCUGACGCUCAGAUGCGAAAGCCAGGGGAGCGAACGGG
rnacentral:rRNA from 1 species